rnacentral:rRNA from 1 species
GUGCCAGCAGCCGCGGUAAUACGGAGGGUGCAAGCGUUAAUCGGAAUUACUGGGCGUAAAGCGCACGCAGGCGGUUUGUUAAGUCAGAUGUGAAAUCCCCGGGCUCAACCUGGGAACUGCAUCUGAUACUGGCAAGCUUGAGUCUCGUAGAGGGGGGUAGAAUUCCAGGUGUAGCGGUGAAAUGCGUAGAGAUCUGGAGGAAUACCGGUGGCGAAGGCGGCCCCCUGGACGAAGACUGACGCUCAGGUGCGAAAGCGUGGGGAGCAAACAGGAUUAGAAACCCCGGUAGUCC